rnacentral:rRNA from 1 species
AAAUUGAAGAGUUUGAUCAUGGCUCAGAUUGAACGCUGGCGGCAGGCCUAACACAUGCAAGUCGAACGGUAACAGGAAGCAGCUUGCUGCUUUGCUGACGAGUGGCGGACGGGUGAGUAAUGUCUGGGAAACUGCCUGAUGGAGGGGGAUAACUACUGGAAACGGUGGCUAAUACCGCAUAACGUCGCAAGACCAAAGAGGGGGACCUUCGGGCCUCUUGCCAUCAGAUGUGCCCAGAUGGGAUUAGCUUGUUGGUGAGGUAACGGCUCACCAAGGCGACGAUCCCUAGCUGGUCUGAGAGGAUGACCAGCCACACUGGAACUGAGACACGGUCCAGACUCCUACGGGAGGCAGCAGUGGGGAAUAUUGCACAAUGGGCGCAAGCCUGAUGCAGCCAUGCCGCGUGUAUGAAGAAGGCCUUCGGGUUGUAAAGUACUUUCAGCGGGGAGGAAGGUGUUGUGGUUAAUAACCGCAGCAAUUGACGUUACCCGCAGAAGAAGCACCGGCUAACUCCGUGCCAGCAGCCGCGGUAAUACGGAGGGUGCAAGCGUUAAUCGGAAUUACUGGGCGUAAAGCGCACGCAGGCGGUCUGUCAAGUCGGAUGUGAAAUCCCCGGGCUCAACCUGGGAACUGCAUUCGAAACUGGCAGGCUUGAGUCUUGUAGAGGGGGGUAGAAUUCCAGGUGUAGCGGUGAAAUGCGUAGAGAUCUGGAGGAAUACCGGUGGCGAAGGCGGCCCCCUGGACAAAGACUGACGCUCAGGUGCGAAAGCGUGGGGAGCAAACAGGAUUAGAUACCCUGGUAGUCCACGCCGUAAACGAUGUCUACUUGGAGGUUGUGCCCUUGAGGCGUGGCUUCCGGAGCUAACGCGUUAAGUAGACCGCCUGGGGAGUACGGCCGCAAGGUUAAAACUCAAAUGAAUUGACGGGGGCCCGCACAAGCGGUGGAGCAUGUGGUUUAAUUCGAUGCAACGCGAAGAACCUUACCUGGUCUUGACAUCCACAGAACUUUCCAGAGAUGGAUUGGUGCCUUCGGGAACUGUGAGACAGGUGCUGCAUGGCUGUCGUCAGCUCGUGUUGUGA